GAUGAACGCUAGCUACAGGCUUAACACAUGCAAGUCGAGGGGCAUCACAGUGUAGCAAUACACGGGUGGCGACCGGCGCACGGGUGCGUAACACGUAUCCAAUCUGCCCGUUACUCGGGGAUAGCCUUCUGAAAGGAAGAUUAAUACCCGAUGGCAUGUAUUUCCGGCAUCGGAGAUACAUUAAAGAUUUAUCGGUAACGGAUGAGGAUGCGUACGAUUAGCUGGUUGGCGGGGUAACGGCCCACCAAGGCUACGAUCGUUAGGGGUUCUGAGAGGAAGGUCCCCCACACUGGAACUGAGACACGGUCCAGACUCCUACGGGAGGCAGCAGUGAGGAAUAUUGGUCAAUGGUCGAGAGACUGAACCAGCCAAGUAGCGUGAAGGAUGACUGCCCUACGGGUUGUAAACUUCUUUUGUUGGGAAUAAAUGAUACUACGUGUAGUAUUUUGCAUGUACCUUACGAAUAAGCAUCGGCUAAUUCCGUG
rnacentral:rRNA from 1 species